rnacentral:rRNA from 1 species
GUGGCUUGUGGAAGCGCCGUCGCUCAACGGAUAAAAGGUACCCCGGGGAUAACAGGCUGAUCUUCCCCAAGAGUCCAUAUCGACGGGAUGGUUUGGCACCUCGAUGUCGGCUCGUCGCAUCCUGGGGCUGGAGUCGGUCCCAAGGGUUGGGCUGUUCGCCCAUUAAAGCGGUACGCGAGCUGGGUUUAGAACGUCGUGAGACAGUUCGGUCCCUAUCCGCUGUGCGCGUAGGAGUCUUGAGAAGGGCUGUCCCUAGUACGAGAGGACCGGGACGGACGAACCUCUGGUGUGCCAGUUGUUCUGCCAAGGGCAUGGCUGGUUGGCUACGUUCGGGAGGGAUAACCGCUGAAAGCAUCUAAGCGGGAAGCCUGCUUCGAGAUGAGGGCUCCCACCCACUUGAUGGGGUAAGGCUCCCAGUAGACGACUGGGUUGAUAGGCCGGAUAUGGAAGCACGGUAACGUGUGGAGUUGACCGGUACUAAUAGGCCGAGGGCUUGUCCUCAGUUG